UUUACAGCCAACGUCAUCAAAUAGUUGCGUGCGCAGGCCGGCAACAGAAGUGGUGUUGUUUCCCAGUCGUUCUGACUCACACACGAGGUAGCAACUGGCUAGCAAGAGUUUAAAAGUGGAUAAAAAACAGUUUCCAGCAUUCAAAAUGUCUGGUUGUUGCGUAUAUGGUUGUCAGAAUCGAUAUUCCACCGGCGGACUAAAGUUUUAUAGGAUUCCGACAGGAUCACAACCAUUUAAGAGCAACCGGCGGCGUCUGUGGCUGCAGGCGAUUAAACGUGUUGACUGGAAUGAGGACAUAAUAAAAAAUGCUCGGGUCUGUAGCGCCCACUUUAUAUCAGGUGAGGCGUCAUUGGACUCUAGUAGCCCCGAUUUUGUGCCUUCUGUGUUUGUGUACACAAAACAAAGCCAGAACCCCGAUGCAAAGAUGGACAGGUACCAUAGGAAAAGGAGGAGAGAGAGACCUAACAGACCUAACACUGCAGCAAAUCCUCCGGUUCCAUCUGAAACUCCAGAACAAGAAU